rnacentral:tRNA from 1 species
AUUUAUAUAGUUUAAAAAUAAACAAUACAUUUUCAAUGUAUAGAUGAUAAUAAUUAUUUAUAAAUU